rnacentral:lncRNA from 1 species
UCAAAUAAAAAUGUUUAUGUUGAUUGAUUUUUGAAUCAGAAAUUGAAGACCCCACAGAAAAUCUGAAAGCCCCAAUGUACCUUCUGUCUAUAAAUAUUCACUUUGGAGUUCAUUUAAGGAAAGGUUUUCGUGGCUUCCAUCUCUCGUAAGAGCUUCAGCAAUAUCUUUUUUAAGCUUUCAAAAAUAACAAGCCUUUUCACUCUUCUCCUACACCAUAUUAACUAUUAUUUUGCUAUUAACAAAUCUGUUUUUUGCAUUCUAGUUCAGUCUUAAUCGAGACUCUCCCUUUGAGUGUGUUUCAAGCUCAUGCUUCUCGAGUUCAAGCCUAGACCGCUAACCAAAGCACUACCAUUCCCUGCCCUACAAUAGGUGACAUUCCUUCCCUUAUCUAUCCUCGUCUAUGAUAAAUGUCAUCCUUAUUUUUAAGAAAAAUUAUGUCUUGAAAGCAUUUUCACUAAAAUUAAUGUUAAGGGAUGUGCUUGGUUUUAUUCUUUUAGUAGCAUUCAGUAAUACAUGCCUUCAGGGGUAAUUGAAAACGUUGUUUAGAGUUUUCCAUGAUAUUAUUUUAAUUCCAAGUUAUAUGGUGUCUUUGUAUGCUAGUAAAUCUACAGCUCACACUGGAAUAUGUUUAAUGGAGGUGAUUUCAUUAUGUUGUUUAGUUAAAAACAAUUUUGCAGACUAGUGCUUUCCCUAAUAAUAAAAUAUAAAGACCUCAUAUUUCUUGCCUGUCGACAUGCUUUGUAAUUUUACUCUAUUUUAUUUACUUUAUAAAAUAUGAGCUCUAAGACUUUUUCCAAUCCUAUUGGUAGUUAUAUGAGUUUUAAAUUUCCUUCUAAAGUUUAAAUAAUCGACGUGUAUAAAAUAUCUAAAAAUCUAAGUGUGAUUUUAUUCAUGCUUUAGAAAAGUACCAUCUUUAUAGUUCAAAUCUAUCAGGGUUGAGUAUUACUUUUAUGGCUAAAAGACAUGUUUCGUUUAACCAUUUUGAGUUGGUUCUAUUGUUAUUUGGCUCGGUAUUUGGCAUGCCCCGUCUUUUGAAUAUUAAUUCAUUUGUGAGACUUUACUUGAUUUUUAUGUAAAUUGAAUAAUCUUUCUAGUUCCUUUAUUCUCUCUUUCAUAUACAUGAAUACUUUGGAGCAAAAAUGGAAUUUUAAUUUCAGAACUCCUGCAAAAUCUUGUCUAUGAGACUCGAUACAUCAUCAUAUCCACAUACGGAGUUGUCGUGACAUCUUAGAUUAUCGAAUAGCACAACAAGCAAGCAUAUCUUGCUCGGAAUUGUCUUCGACAGCUUAUAUAAUAGCAUUUAUACACUCUAAUUUUUAUUUACAUUGUAAUUUGUGUGUGUGACUAGGAUACAUUUAGUUUUCUUUUAAUAGAUAUAAAUAAUAUAGGAUAGGUGAAUAGUUAUGAUCUGUGCUCUUGGUGCCUGUCUUAGUUGUUAGUUUUAGUGACUUUCAUAUCCUAUAUGCUAGUAACAUUCCACUAUUGACUUUUUCUAUAAAAAAAAAAGAUCAACAAGCAUUUUUAGAUAAAGUUGUUCUAAAAUAUUUCCAAACUAUGCUAAUUAUCCGGUAGCAGUCAUCAGAUUUUAUUUCAUUUUCUUUGAGCCUUAAGGUAUUGGACCAUUAGUCUUGUUUCAAGCAAAUGCCAAUCUUUUGUUAAAUCUUCGUCCUUCUAUUGUUUUAAGAGAGUUUUCAUGUCGUUUUCUUAGUUACUCGACUUUUCAAAUUUCUUAGUACUCAUUUUUAUAAAUUAACUUAACUUUGUUCAGUUAGUCAUAGUUAGCGGAUCCUUUAAGUUGCUUAAUUCCUCCUCUUUUAAAUAAUUAGAACCCUUGCCUAGAAUCACUUAUGUUAAGUAGACCAUAAAAUGAUGUAUUUAUUUUCUUAUAAUCAAUUACUUUUAUAAUAGAUGUCCUAAUUCACUGUUGAACUUAUUAGGCAACGACUUCCUUAAUUUACAUAGAAGUUUCCAAUAUGUUCUACCUCAAUUUGACCCAUGUUAAAAUAGGUAACCUUUUUGAACCUCUUCAACACCAAAACUAGAGCCUUAACUUUCCAAUCUACCAAAUCAGCUACAAUAAUAAGCGGCAAAGUGUUGUUGGGUCUUUGCUCCAAAACUGGGGGCUCCUCAAUAGAAAGCUGAGAUAGAUGAGUCACUCUAUUUUUCAAAUCACGAUCUAACUCUUUAGUGCAUACAUAUAUGAACCCCUACCUUCAAGUGCGCUAACUAUCUCAUAAUAGCCAUUAAUGCAAUAACCCUUGAAAUUUAUAAUGAUUGUUGCAAAGGACUCAAUGCAUGGUCUUUCCUCAUUAGGAGCUACCAAGUUAUCCUUGUCAAUGGUAUCUAUCAUAAAGCUUACACACAUAUUAUUUGGCUGCUUCAUCGAUAGGCAUACAUUAAAAGUUGUUUAUUAUUAAACUUGAACUUCAUCUGCGCAGUUUCCAUAUCAGCCUCAACCAAUGCAUUCCCAAUUUCAUCUAAAGGUCUUCCCAAGAUAAUGGGGACCUCAAAGUAAAACUCACGAUUGAGGAUGACAAAAUAAGCUGGAAAGAUGAAGGAUGCAACCCUCACAAAAACAUCACAUAAAAUACCCACAGACUUUUUCCCAGUGUGUUCCACCAUGAAAAGUCUAGUUUAAGUCGAUUUGGGUGACCCCAAUCCUAAUUGUUUGUAAACUGCUAGUGGCAUCAAGUUAAUGGUGGUCCUUAAAUCACACAACUCGUACAAAAAGUUGAACCACAUAAUAAUGCAUAGAAUUGUGAAUUCUCAUAGGUCUUCUUUUAUCUAAACCAAUGAUCUAGAGGUUAUUGCACUACAAUAGUGCACAUUGUCUAUGGGUUCAAAACUCACCAUCCACUUCUUAGUAACUAAGUUCUUCAUAAAUUUCACGUAACGUAGAAUUUUUUUAAGUGCCUCAACUAGAGGGAUGUUCACUGUUAACUUCUUCGGCAUAGAAAUAAACUUUUGGUACUUUGCCUCUUCAACUUCCUUUUUUAGUCUUCAUCAAAAAGAAGGAUGAGGCCGUGGAAUGGGAUUCAAUAAUUAAAGGACUUCUUUGUCCUUACUCUUUAUUGUGUUGGACUCGUGAUCAUCAACUUAAGGUUUGUUAACUGCACUCUUUGCUAUAUAAAGGUUUGAUGAUGAGCAGCUAAACUAAAAAGGACCAUGUUGCUGGAUGUGCAAGGUACAGUACAACUGAAAUGCAUUAUCUGCACAGUUUUAUCCUCUUGUGUAACAAACUUGUAGGUGCUAUUUUGUACUGAUUAGAAAAGCUGGUCCAGUAAUCUUCCAACCCUAAUAAUCACUCAUCUAUAAUAGAAAAAAUAUACCUUUUCAUCAAAUGAUUUUUUGAAAUUACAAAGAUAAAAACCCUAUUUCAACACUGGUCAUGUUUUUAGCUUUAUGAGUACUUAAAUAGAAAUUAUUCUUGAGUAAGUUCUAAUUUGCAAAUGAAUUACUCGUGUUAUAAGAAUAAUUCAUUUUUAUCUGUGAGUUGAGAGUUCUUAGGUAAUGUUACCUAAAUGUGAGACUAAUUAGAGUUAAUCAGUAGAGAGGGACCUUAGUAGAGUUACCAAGAUGAUCUUGUAGUGAAGUUGCUACUAGAAAAAAGAGCAUAGAGUUAGGCUGAAAUAUAGAUUGUAAUUAAGAGGUUGAUAAUACUGGAUUUAUUUGGUGCUUGUGAGGGAAAUCCUUGGUUUUUCCCUUUCUAUAUUUCCACAUAAAAAUCUUGUGUUUUUACUCUUCCUGCAUUGUCUCUUACUUCUUGUUUAUUUUAUGUACUUUGUAUGUGAUUAAUUUUGAGGCACCUGGUACCUCACUAUGUGGUGCAACACUCAGGGUUUCAAUAAUUGUUAUCAGAUAUAGGUUACUCUAAAAGGUUCACACCUAGAGUGUCUUGGUUAGCAUGACUACUCCACCUAAUCUAGAAGAAAGGAAAACUACUACUAGAUCACUAAUAUUCAAUGGGCAUUAUAAUGGGUGGUGGAAAACUAGGAUAUUUGACUUCAGUAUAGUUGAAGAUAGUGAACUGAUAGACAUAAUUCUUGAUGGACCUUAUGUUUUCAUUAAGAAAGUCAAAGAAGAAGUAAUAACUAGAAUGGUUUUUAAAAGCAGGAGAGAGUAUAUGAUGAAGAUAGAAAGAAAAUUGCAAAGAAUUACAUGGCCAAGAAAUAGCUAGUUUGGGGUAUAGGGACUGAUGAAUAUAACUGUAUCUUAUCCUGUGAAAAUGCUAAAGAAAUCUGGAAUUGCUUGAGGAUUACUCAUAAAGGCACGACUGAUGUGAAAGAUUCUAAAGUAGUCAUGCUAACCAGUUAGUAUGAAACCAUCCAAGAAAUACAUACCAGAUUCACUUCUAUCACAAAUAAGUUUCACUGCUUAGGAGAAGUGAUUCUAUUAUAUAAGCAAGUGAGAAAGAUUCUUCGUGUUCUUCCUAAGUCCUGAAAAACAAAGUGGAUGCAAUAAAUGAGGCAAGAAAUAUGAAGAUCCUCACCACAGAUGAGCUCAUUAGUAAUCUAAAGACCCAUGAGCUUAAGAAAUUCAGAAGAGCUGGGAAAGAAAGAAAUAAAAAGGGAAAAAUCCCUUUAUUUGAAGCCCUCAAAACAUUAUUCAAGCGAAGAAGAUACAGGUGUUUCCUAUUUUUCAAGUAGGAUUUUUAGAGCCAUAAAGAUGAGUGGUCAGUUCCAAAAAAAGGAAGCAGCAGCAAAAAAGAAAGUAGCAUGAAGGUAUGUCACAAAUGUGAAAGUCCUGAGCAUUUUAUUAAGGAGUGUCUAUUGCACAUAGUAGACUACACGGGAUACCUUAAGACUAGGGGUGACAAAGGAAAAAAUAGGGACUAGGUUCCUAAAAAUUCUAAGAGCAAGGUAAUAGUUGAGUUUGCUGUAAAGCAAUCUCUGGCAGUAUAGGGAGACUCCUCCAGUGAUUUCGGUGAAGAUUAGAAGACUGGAGAUAUUUUUAUACUAGAACUGGAAGCCAGUCCAAUAAUCUAUGAUUCUUUGUUUGCAUUCAUGGAAACACAAAAGAUGAAAAAGAAAAAGAGGUAACUCUUUCUAAUAAUAAGGAGAAUCUAGAUAAUUAUAUUUCUAGGAAGAUUAAAAGGCUUGCAAAUAUGUAUAUAUAUUUUGUAUGUAAACUAAUUGCUGAGAAAAAUGCCUUAGAUGAAAAAGUAGAGAAUCAAGAGCAUAAAUUAAUUGCCUUAACUCUUCAUAUAUAUGAAAUUGAAGAAAUUGUCACUAAAUUAAAGUCUAAAAAUCUAAAUUUUAUAAGUCAACUAAAGAAGGUAGAUGAUGUAGAUGUUAAAAAAAAGAUGGAAGCCUCAAGGAUUUAGAUUAAUAUUGGGAAAAAAUUGAAGGCUUCCUAAAAAUAACUUAUGUCAGUGCUUCACAUAAAUGAAAUGUUAGAAAGGGACUUGGUCUGUUUGAGAGAAGAGCUCAGCAAGACUCUUAGAUGGACUGAUUUUUCAUAGAUACUUUCUAAUUAAAUAUUUGAGGAGUUACUAAUGGUAAAGGUCUGGGAUAUUAAGGAGGAUUUCAAUCUGUUGAUUCUAAAGAAAAGGUUGCUCUUGAUGAUAAAGGCAAAGGGCACAAACUCAUAUGCGCUCACUGUAGAAGAGAUAGACAAUUGAAAGAUAGAUGUCAACACUAGCUUAAUGAAAAAUUAAGGAAUAUUGAAUACAUUCAGUAGGACAAUGCACAUCCUAAGGACUUCAAGUCUCCAAAAAGGGUAAAGUGAAAUCUAUCACUACCUAGAUAAGGUAAGAAUAAUUUGAUCACACCAUUAUUCUCCUAAUGGGAACACAAAAUUAAGUAGGUUCUCAAAUCCAACUUGUGAUAUUGAUUCCAUGCAUAGGAAAGGGAUUAUAGUUAAGAAUAGCUUAUUGAUUAAAGGAGUUCAAAGCUUAAGUGAUGAAUGGUCUAAUUAUGUUCUCUCUCUCAAGACAUUUUAAGAUAGAUAUAUCUCGCUUUGAAAUGGAUAAUUUCAAGGGAUCAGGUCCCUACGAAACCCAUCAUAAAAGAAGAAGCUUCAGCAGAAUAAAUAACAUUUGAAUUAGUGUCUCUUCCAAAAUUUGGCUAUGUUUAGGAGAUAGGUAUCCAUAAUAAUAUAGGUGUAUGUUAAUCUGUCUCAGAUCCUUACUGUUGCAGGUAUACAUCCAUGGGAACAACAUAGGAAGAGAACAAUUAAA